UAAUGACUUUGUAAUAUGCCAAAAGCAUUUUCUUGAAGUACCUCAUCAUAUAUUUUAUAAUAGACUGUAUUUCAUAUGUAUAUGUAUUGUUGCCUAUCAGUGACUUACAAAUGAACUGGAAUUUCAGGAAUCUGAUAGACUCUGCCCUUGAGUUUUCUAUGUUUCAGUUUCUUACUAGGAAAAACUAAACUGAGGAUGGAAAUGGGAGAUCAGAAACAGCCAACAAAGGAAACAGGAAAGGAAGGCAUCUGGUCAAUAAGAAGAGCUAGAGGCACCAGGAGCCUCAGCCCUGAAACAAGCUCCUUAGGGAGUUUAUCUUAGGUGGAGCCCUCAUCAUCAGGUGAGGUUAUGUAAGCAUCCCUGCUGUGCAGAAGGAGAGUCUGAGGCCUGUUAGACUGACCAAGAGACACAAACGUAGAGCAAGUGCAGAUUAAAAAAGAGGUAGCACAGAGUUGAGCAUUGUCAAUAGGUAACCACUCUAGAGAUUGAGCAUGGAUUCCAGGCUGCAUGAAAAAGAAAAGCUUGUUAGGUUGGAACAGUUGAGAUCCUGGAGGCUUGGAGCAGCUGAAGAACAGAUUUAGUGAGACAGAGAGAAGAGAUGGAAGGAUGUGGACCCAGGGUGGGACUUUUUUUUUUAAGGAGCAGUUUCAAGCAAUGAUGAGGUCUGGGUUGUGACUACAGGAACAGCAGCAGCAGCAUCUAGUUUACCCACCACAGUGUUCAGAGAACCAUGCAAGUCAACAGACUUUUGUUUAUGAACUGAAGGCUCAGAACAUGACACACCAAAGUAUGCCACUUUAGUAUAAAGAUUAUUUUGAGCUGAAGGCAGGUGAGAAUCUGCAGACACAGAAAAAAAGCUCUCUACCCUCUUCCUAUUUGCCUAAAAGAAGGGCAUAAAUUUCCCACACUCUUAUCAUCCCAGAAAUAGCACUGAGAGAAAUCUACAUAACAAACAUUACUUAAAUAACUCUUAUCUUCCAUUAGUUUCUACCACAUAUUUGCCGUCCCACAAUUUACUGCCACUAGAAGCUCAAACCCCUUUCCUUUGUCUUGUCAAAUGUAUUGCCCUUUGUUAAAAUGGUAUAUAAACCUUCAGGUCUAACUACUUCUUUGGGUUUUUAUUUCAUCUGUGAGCCCCUCAUAUGCAUAUAAAAUAAACCUUUUUCUCCUGUUAAUCUGUCUUUUGUUGGUUCAAUUCCAGUCAUUGGACCUAAGAGUGUAGAGGAAAAAGCCUUUACUCCUGUCUGGUAGGACAUUAGUUAGACUCCGAAUUAAAAGUGCCCUACAACCACCAAGCACUAGAGUAUUAUUGUUAUGAGAUACUG
rnacentral:lncRNA from 1 species